CAGCAGCCGCGGUAACACGAAGGGUGCAAGCGUUACUCGGAAUUACUGGGCGUAAAGCGUGCGUAGGUGGUUGUUUAAGUCUGUUGUGAAAGCCCUGGGCUCAACCUGGCAAUUGCAGUGGAUACUGGGCAACUAGAGUGUGGUAGAGGGUAGUGGAAUUCCCGGUGUAGCAGUGAAAUGCGUAGAGAUCGGGAGGAACAUCCAUGGCGAAGGCAGCUACCUGGACCAACACUGACACUGAGGCACGAAAGCGUGGGGAGCAAACAGGAUUAGAUACCCCUGUAGUCCCUGUCUCUUAUAC
rnacentral:rRNA from 1 species